AAAUCCAUUGUAGAAUUUUGAGAGACACCUCGAGAUAAGAAGAUAGCGAACCACACCAAAAUAGAAGUUAAAUAAAAAUAUAACCACGAACUCAAAACAUACAAACAAUUCAUUACCGUUUCAAGCCAAAACAACGGUUAUUAACAAGGUGAUAAAGAUGUAUUUCCUAUACAAUACUUUGUCGACGACCAACCAACUCAGAUCAAAGUAAAACAGACGUUAUUACAAGGUGAUAAAGAUGCGUUUCCUAUGCAAUGCUUCGUCGACGGCCAACCGAAUCAAAUCAAAGUAAAACAGACGUUAUUACAAGGUGAUAAAGAUGCGUUUCCUAUGCAAUGCUACGCCGACGGCCAACCGAAUCAAAUCAAAGUAAAACAGACGUUAUUACAAGGUGGUAAGUUUCAUUUCCCACGUAACGUACGUCGACAG